CGAGCAGUAGCUCAGUGGUAGAACUCCCGCUUCCUAUGCGGGAAGACAUGCGUUCGAUUCCCGGCUGCUUAC
rfam:Toxocara canis scaffold806, whole genome shotgun sequence.